rnacentral:lncRNA from 1 species
AAGGUGGAAUAAAGGCUAAGGUGCAGGGUGGGAACUAGCUAAAGAUGAGCUAGCCACUCAGGAUCAGCAAGAUGGAUAAAAAGGAUAAGAAGUCCUGAGUGUGUUCUCGUUUCCCUGAUCUAAUGCCCAUAACAAGAAGAAUUUCAGUCAAGAUUAGGUUCAAGUAAGGUGGAGUUAAGUCUACCCAGUGUAACCUGAUCGGCUGAGAACCUUCUGGAGAAUCAAGUGAGAUAUGUCAGGGUGUUCCAGGUCCACAUGUGUGUCUUUCGCCACUGCUAAGGUCACUGAAUAAGAUAACUAAAGCACGAGGUGGUUAGUGAUCAACACGGAAUAAGGUCCUAAUUCCCACAAAAUUUUGACUGACUCAAUAAAAACUGACUCGAAUUGACCCAAAAGAAAAACAAAAGAAAGAAACGAGUUAGUAAACGACGAAAACCCUCCUCCAGACUUACUUCACAACGUCCCUGGUGUGAAAAUAAAUCAGAGAGAAGGUGAAAUCAAGAAUAAACAUUUUUUUUUGUUCGAGAUACUUACCUGGCGCGG